ACCAGACCUGAAUGUCCAUUACAGUGUUCACAAAAUUUUACAUACCAUUAAACUUUCCUGAGCCAUUUGAACCAAAUCUAGAACUUCAUACCCUAUUUAUUUAAGAUUAAUUUUAAUAUUAUCCUGCCACCUGCUCUUAGAUUUUCCAUGUGGCCCCUUUUUAAAUAUUUUUCUCCUCCAUACCUCCUGCAUAUAUCGCCUCUUAAUCUGACUAGAUUUUAUUACCCUGUCGAUACAUAGUGAAGAGCAUUCCUACACAUUAUGGAGCUUCUAAUCGUGUGAGUCUUUCUAUUGUCUUGAAAUUUCUUCUCUCUUAGUUUCAGACAACUUCCUCAGCACUUGGUUUUCAAAUAUCGACAAAAUGUUUUCUUCUUUUACUGUGAGAGACUACGUUUUCUUCGUAAUAAAAGAGCAGAUACUAUGGUAAAUUCUUCUCUUCAAACAUGAAUUUGACAAAUAAAAGUAUUUAAAUUCUGCUUGUUGAUAAAGAGCGUAGUAAGUAGUCAGUUUUUCAACAUGUCCUAAUUUCAGUCGGAAGGCAUAGUUGUUACAAAGCGUAAUUCACUGCUAUUUCUUUUAUGUACAGUUUUAUGGAGAAAUAAUUUAACUUAUACCUCAGAUAAUUCAGUACACAUCUCUAGAUAUUUAAUGGUGCUGCAUAGAAUAAAAUAUUAAUUUUAGGAAGCUAAUGGACGAUAAAUUGGAAGUUUGGUUUAAACAAAAUAAUUGAGAAUAGGUGUUCAUUCAAUGCUCUGUUAUGUGUAAAACACUUAUUGUAAAACUCAAAGGAAUAAAAGGGGGAUUUAUUACUGAGAUAUUACGUUUAAGUAGCUCAGUCAGUAUAGUGACUGACCACAAAUGUAUAGGUCAAAGUUGUAAAGAUUUCUAUUAGUGGUGAAUAAAAUGAUAUUCAUCGUGUUCAAAUCUCGAUCCGGAGACUGGCGAUACUUGUGAGGCAUUUUCGUGGUCUUUAUCAGUCCCUCAAGGCAAUUAUCGGAGUACUACCUCAAAAAAGAUAUAAAAAUGUAGUAUGCUUUUUGGUGUACAUUGUCAUUCUUAUCUUAUUCUUCACGAUACAUUACAUGGUUUGAUAUAUGGCUUUAUCUUUAGACUAAUUGUAAUUACAUUUAUAUUCAUUAGCAAGGAAACAUUAUGAACUUUUAUAAUAGCGGUAAAAUGCAAUAUAAUCGAGUUACCUUGCUUCUCUUCGUGGCUCUUGAAGCACAAAACACACAUAACUCAAUUUUAUGAAGGCUGAAACUCUGUUUCAGAAAAGUGCUGGGAUGUCGUGGUGUAGCUGAAAAAUCGGAAUGCGAAGGGUUUAUUUAACGUUACCAAAAGUCUAUGCACAUCAAAUGCAAGGAGACCAAUGACUAAUGAACAUAAAACGAAAAAAUUGCCUGUAAUAAAAAUACCCCAUCUACUACACUACGAAUAUAUACCUUAUAUUUCCUCGUGGUGUAUGAAAUUUGUCUUUGUGCUCAUUUCACCAUGAAAACCAUAAUUUUAGAAUUAUUUUAUCACAUUUCAUAUGGGAAACCCGGAAGGAAAUACGGAGAGUAGACAGUAAAUACUGACAUAUCAGCAACUGUCUAUGGAAAAUUUUCAUAUCAUUCAUUAGUAAAAAUCUGCAAAAAACUGUGUUGUCAGAGGUUUGCUUUUAAUAAGAGCAGAACUGUUUGUUGUCCCACUGUCUGCAUUUUUACAAAGAGAAAGCCUUGCAGACCGUUAUUAUUUUAAUCUGCACGGUUUGAGAAAAAAUUAUUAUUACGCUACAGUCUUGUAAAUAAAAAAUAAUUUGCGGAAUAAAAAAACAUGUUUAAACCAAUGCAAUAUUAUUGAUCGACGUUGUCUGUAAAACUAAAAUGAAAUUACUACUGUCGCCAUCUGUCUAUAUAAAUUAUACAAAGAUUCGAAAGGUAAAUUUAAUAUUUGAGUAUAUUGUUGUAUGAUUGGCCAAUCUGCUGAUACCUGGUCGUGCUGUAGCUAAAUGUCAGAUAUUGACGUGCUGUGACUGUGGUUCAAUUUUAGUCAAUUUGUGCCGAGUGAGUGCUGCGUAAAGGUAAAUGCUGUUAUCUUCAGUUUAUAAAGACAAGUCCUGGGAAAGCUUGUAAGAAGUUCUGGUCCAGGUGAUUGUGUUGUACGAGGUUGCGCCGAAUAAACUGGUAGAAGUUUCCCGAUGUUCCAGAGGCGCCUACUGCCUACAUCACCAAACUGAUGAGUCAACGUCUACCGAACUACACGACUCAACAUUCCAGAAGACCAUCACCUUUAGCGUUCCUAUAUAUUGUACCUUCAGGCAGAAGAUAAGACCAAGAAGUUUUACAAUGUAUAUGAUGAUCAAGACUACAUUUCCCAAGAACCCUCGAGACAGUCAUCUUCAGUCAGAAAGUGAAUCGGAAAUCUUAUGGAAAUAAAACCCCUUUAAAGACCCCUUUAAACUCAUAGGUCCAACACGACAAUAAUUAGAACUUAUUUAUUAAAAUUAUCUUCUUCGCCAAUAAACUAUAACCUAUGAAUUUACAGCUAGACGGAACCUUAAAUGCAUACAAAAUUUUAGUAGGAUAACUUGAAGGAAAGCGAUUAAUGACUUGAUAAACCCAUGUGCAAAUAUGAGGGUAUUAUUUACAAAGUAUCUGAAUUAAUUUAGGUGUGGUGAUGUGUACAGAAGACUUGCCACCACUUGUUCUGCACACCGUACGUGAGUUUCGCGUAAAUCCGUUUAGCUUUUAAUUUUUACGUCAAAGCAGCAUAGAAGUCAGACUGGCGAUGCAGUUCUUUAAUCAGGAAAAUUAACUACGUCGAGGAAGAUGAACGUGGCGCGUCCACCCAGACAAAGCGAUCUUAACACACGUCCUACAAUGAAACUAAGACCUCCCUAAUGCUAAGAGGAUGCCUACCGCUUAUAUCACUAACCUGAGCGGAUAAUGCUACAUUAAUCUGUGUGCUUAAGUGAAUAGAAGACCACAGACAAUGAGAAUUGACUGGGCAACUCUCCAAUGAUCGUGUUUACGGCAGACGUUGCUUAGUAGGGCCACACAUUUACCCGGCUUGGCAGACACUGCACCAUGAUGAUAGGAUUUCAGUAGGAACCAAAACCAUCCUUCGUCAUUGGGCGUGGAGCACUACUUCUUGCUACGAGAGGGAGCAUUCUAUUACCUAGGCAUCUCUUAAUGCCAACCUGUUUUAAGCUUAAUGGAAAUCACAUUUUGAAAGCGACAGACUGUCAGACUACUCAUUCCUUUCACCAGACGUGAACUUUAAUGUGGUAACAUUUAUGUAAUACAAAGAGCUAAUUUAAUAUAAACGCUUAAAUGAAUUGAAAAUUAAACGUGAAACAGAAAACGGGCAUCAAACAUUUCGUAAAGGAUCAACGUUGGCUUUCCAAUUGAAAAGCUAAAAUUAGUGUGUAGAUGAAACUAAAUGUCAGUUUUGCUCAUCACACGACUUAAUAUCUUUUAGAGCGAAAUGUUGGUGGAAUGGAAGGGUAAUUAGCUGCAGUAAUGUGUUUCAGUCUGACGAUAUAUAUACACUGGUACGCUUAGGUUACACUUACAUACACUUAUGAGUUGUAUAAUACGUUAAAUAAUAUUAUCAUAUAAUAUAAUGUAAUAACGAUUUUAAUAUAAUUUGUUUACAUUCA